AUGGAAGCUAUGGCGAUCAGGGAUGGUGUACAGCUUGCCUGCAAUCUUGGUCUUCGUCGUGUGAUUCUGGAAACAGAUGCGCAACAAAUUGUGACCAUGUGGAACUCAAAUAAUUUUGAUCCCUCGGUAAUAGCUGCAACUCUUCAUGAAGUUCAAGAGUUAAGAGGCAACUUUGAGUCUUUCCAGCUCAAUUUUGUGCCUAGGGAAGCUAAUGAGCUUGCACACCUCUGUGCCAAACAAACAAGUUUCAUCCCGACCGCACCACACACAUCGGUCGGCCGAUGCCGCCCCUCAGACUCUCGUCAAAACAGAUGCAUGCGGAAAAAAAAGGCACAAGCGCCCGGCCAUAGGAGAGGCAUCGAUGCCAAAGGAAAUCCUGGACGCGGCUUGCCUGCGGCCUUGGCGUGCGACAAUCGAAUACAGAUCGUGAUACUGAUUGCCGUCUGUAUGGAUACAUCCCUUAUCCACAUCCCUCUCCUUGGUCGGAACUCAAGCUCAGCUGAAGCUUUCCAUGUCCUCUGUUGCUCCUGCUCCUCGAGCCUCCAAGCACUUCCUGCCCAUCAACCGGAUGUCGUCGCGCUACCGUGCAGCUUCUACUCGGGCGUGCGCACUCACGCAUCUCACCCCCAUCCCGGCUCCCGGCUGGCCGCCGCCCGCGUGCGCCUGCUGAAUCAGCAUCCCCAGCUCGGCUGGCCGCCGCCGUGGUACGCCUGCUGA
rnacentral:rRNA from 1 species